rnacentral:rRNA from 1 species
UGGCUGCAACUGUUUAUUAAAAACACAGCACUGUGCAAACACGAAAGUGGACGUAUACGGUGUGACGCCUGCCCGGUGCUGGAAGGUUAAUUGAUGGGGUCAGCCGUAAGGCGAAGCUCCUGAUCGAAGCCCCAGUAAACGGCGGCCGUAACUAUAACGGUCCUAAGGUAGCGAAAUUCCUUGUCGGGUAAGUUCCGACCUGCACGAAUGGCGUAAUGAUGGCCAGGCUGUCUCCACCCGAGACUCAGUGAAAUUGAACUCGCUGUGAAGAUGCAGUGUACCCGCGGCAAGACGGAAAGACCCCGUGAACCUUUACUAUAGCUUGACACUGAACAUUGAGCCUUGAUGUGUAGGAUAGGUGGGAGGCUUUGAAGUGUGGACGCCAGUCUGCAUGGAGCCAACCUUGAAAUACCACCCUUUA